GGCGUAGCUCAGUAGGUAGAGCAGGUGACUGUUAAUCACCCUGUCGGGGGUUCGAAUCCCUCCGCC
rnacentral:tRNA from 1 species